GUUAAAGGUGUGGCACUUCCCGCUUCUCUCUCUCUCUCUCUUUCCUGCUCCGCCGCGGUGAGACGUACUUGCUUCUCCUCACCUUCUACCGUGAUUCUGGACUAGACAGAAGACUACAGUUCAAUAAGAAGGAAACACAUUCAUUUUCAGUAUUGUUAAUAAAGAAGCUUACCUAAAAGAAGGAAAUCAAAACAAGAUAAUCUACACUGCAACUAGGGGAGGCUAUUGAAUGUGAUGGUCCCCUCAGAUGCCUAGAGGAAGAUGAACAAUGGUAAUCAGAUAUCCUAAAGUUAUCUUUAGGGCACUGGCAAAAUAGCAGCAAUGCCUGGUGGAAGCUGACUUUGUGCAUACACAUGAGAGCCCACAGAAAACUUCAAACUUCAUGGAAAUAAAACCUUCAGCUGCAGCUAAGAAUUUGGAGGUUACUGAAGGAGGUUACUUUUUCAAGAGCAGAAGUAAGGAUUCCACUGAAUUUGCUCACCAAAGAUAAGUCAGCAAAGAAAACUUACUGAAGAAUACAGACAGCAUAUCAGCUCCUGCUUUCCAGACAAACUUCCUGGGUCUUGGGAAGAAGAAAGCCUCAGACUAAGAACUCUCUCUGGACUCAGACAGCCUGAAUUCAAAUCCCAUCUCUAUUCUUACUAGUCAUAUGAACACAGGAGAACCAUAUCCAUUCAGCUCACUUUGGACCACCUGUGGAGCCUGAUAACCAGGGAACAGAGAACCUGUUGAGAUCCAAAUUUGUGUGCCAGAUCACAAACUCAUCUGAAGCAGAUGCCACGUGUUACACUGUUAUGUCUCUCAGAGACUCCAGCACUUUGAAAGUAUUAGGCCUUGCUUAUUGAGAUGAAUAUUUUUUUCUAGGCAUGUCCCAAAGUUCUCAGCAUAGCUACAACCCUGAUUUUCACAGGAUUUUCAUUAAAAUUAGGUUCUAGAGCAUUACUUCCCUAAUGUGCAAUGCAACUUACGUUUAGUUUUCAAAUCAAAAUUAGUUUUGUUUUUCCACUGUCUUUGUCUUUGAAAAUAUUGAACUUGGGAUUUCCAAAAUUAUAAUUAGCAAUUAUUUUUACAUAUCUUUUAUAUACAUAACUUUUACAAUGGCUGCCAUUAUCAUGUAGGUUCUUAGGAAGUGUUUCUGAUCCUUGUAAAUAAAAGUGAAAGAAGAAAUCUUUACUGCUUGCUGACCCAUGUGACUAACCUUGAAAUCAGAGAGGCAGAUUCAUUUAAAACAAACUUGCAAACUGUUAAGCAAAGUACUGAAUCUCUGUGACUUGACCAAAAGUAAUUCAGACUUGACUAUUCCAGGCUCCCUUCUAUCUCUGUAGCAACCCAUGCAUCAUAGACUCCAGUUGCAAUGGAUGGUCAAGGAAUCUGCUGUGCCUUUUGAGUCUCUCCAUUUUAUAUUGCCAAAUUUAUCUUCCUUUAAUACUUCACUUCACAUAAGACACUAAGAUAAACAAGGAUGCAACUCACUUAUAUUUCAAAAUAGUACCUAGUGGUUAAAAGUACUUGUUCUGAAAGCAACUCUAUUUUUCUAGUUCUAACAUGUCUCCAACUAGUUAUCUCACCUUGAGCUUGGCACAUAAUCACUCCAUCUUACUUUUGCAUCUGUGACACAAGAAAAAUACCACCCACCUCAACAUAGAUCUUAUGAAGAUUAAAAUAAGAUUAUGAAAGUAAAAUGCUCAGCACAAUGUCUAAACGAAAAUAAAUGCUCAGCAAGUAGGAGCUACUAUAAUUAUUAUCCAGAUCAAAUAUUUUCUCCUCUAUGAAGCUUUCUUAUUCUUCCCCAGCUGGAAUUACUUAUUUUCUUCCUUGCUUUCUACACCACACUUUAGUCACCACCAUGCUGGCACUUGUCUCACCGCAUUAUAAUUAUUUAUGUGCCUGUGUUCCAUAACCAGAAUAUGGGACUUAAGCUUCUUUAUACCUCCAGCAUAAUUGUUUCAUGUGUGCUUUUAGGUAAUGGAGUAAAAUGGAUGAAUGAGUGAAUGCGACUAUAGUACUAAAUGCUCUUAGAUAAAGAUGUAAUUAUUCUUAAGUGAUAAAAUUAUUCGAACAUGAGUAGUUCAGAUAAUGAGAGACUGUCAUAGAAUUACUUGAUAAAAUCUAGUCAAUAAAAUGGCUUGGCAAUAUAACCUUUAUGAUUUCUUUAAACAAUCAUUCAUUUCUUUCUGAAGAUGAGAAGAGGAGAUUCCUUCUCCCAUCUUUAUAUUUCAACAAUGAUUAGAAAACAAAUUGAUCUCUGGGAUCAGUGCCCAAUACCAUUAAAGUGGUAUACAUCUUACAAUUCUUAAUUAAUUUGUGGCAUACAUAUACCAGUCUCCACAGCCAGCUUCAUCUGCAUACAGCAGCAUAAUCACUUUUUUCCUUAUAGUAAAGACAUAUUAUGAGUCAUCAAAGUCUUCUCCGGGGGUUGUGGUUAUCAUCUGGUAAUCACACCCUUGGGAGGUUAAAAACACUUAUCUUUGGAUCAUGACUUGCAAUGCCCCAGGGGUGUGAUUAUCUCAGGCAACUCACACUUUCUGUCAUGCCUAAUUGCUUAAUUAUUAUAGCUGCAAGUUCACACCACCAUACAGGAACUCAUGUUGUGUCAGCAUUUCCACUAUAAAUUCCUUUUUCAAGAGUCUAUAACUCAGCCAUAAAAAAAAAAAAAAAAAAAACCUAUGGUCCAUUGAAGCACUGCAGUAAGAGUCUUAUUCCAGGAAACAUUUCUGUAAUAGGUUAAUUGUAUCUUAAAAAUUGGGUCCUGAUUCUCAUAGUUAGUUCACCAAAGAAAUAAAUGCUAAUUAAAUGUCUCUAAAUUAUAUAUUUUUCUGUAUGGCUGGGUAAAUAAUGUAAAUCCUAAAGACAUAAAUAUUAUUUUUUAAAUAUAACAAGAAUGGCUCAUACAAUUUCCAGUUUUUUGGAAAUACACUUACACAUAUUUAUAAAAUAUUAUAUAAGUAGAAUGAGCUAAACCAUAGUUAGAGAACAUUGUCAUAUGCAAUCAUGUACUACAUAAUAUUUCAGUCAGUGGACAGCAUGUGGCAGUGGUCACAUAAGAUUAUAACGCAGCUGAAAAAUUCCUGUUGUCUAAUGACAUCAUGGCUGUCAUAACUGUCAUGGCCGUCAUGGCCAUCUGAACAUUGUAGUACAAUGUAUUCCUCAUGUGUUUGUGGUGAUGCUGAUGUAAACAAGCAUCUGCACUGCCAGUUGUAUAAAAGUGUAGCACAUACAAUUAUGUACAUACAAUUAUGCACACACAAUUAUGUACAACACAUAAUAUUUUAUAAUGACAAUAAACAAUUUUGUUACCGGUUUAUGUAUUCACUGUACUAUACCUUUCAUCAUUAUUUUAGAGUGUACUCUUUCUACUUAUAUAUAAAAAAAAGUUAAUUGUAAAACAGCCUCUAGCAGGUCCUUCAGGACAUAUUCCAGAAGAAGGCAUUGUUAUCAUAGGAGAUGACGGUUCCAUGCGUGUUAUUGCCCCUGAAGACCUUCCAGUGGGUCAAGAUAUGGAGGUGAAAGACAGUGAUAUUGAUGAUCCUGACCCUGCGUAGGCCAAGUUUUCUUGACUUCACUUAAUCUGCUGGAAGCUGAUCCUUUUCAUGUCCAUGUUUAAGGAAGCGUUGAAGGUCACGUCACUCAAAGCCAACAUCAGCAGGCAUCCUACCAAGAUAAUCUCUGAAGAGGUCAGAGGUGAGAAUGACACAGAGAAGAGGCAGAUUUUACCAGUCCAGUUCAAGGAAUUUCUCACUCUUUCUUAUAAGGGAACUCUUUUCAAUAGAAAAGGAAAGGUUGCCAGUAAAAAGACAAUGGAAUUCCUUCCAUUUUAUGUAGAUUUAUUUUUUUUCAUGAGAAAAAGGAAUAAAGCAUUUAUUUUCUCAGUGUUUUAAGGGAAG
rnacentral:lncRNA from 10 species